rnacentral:lncRNA from 1 species
UUCUUAUUUGUUGUGGUGAUAUUUUAUCGUAAUAAUUUUAUAUGUUUCUGUGGUGAUUUAUUUGAUGUAGUAGUAUUUUUAUAAGAUGUUGUAGUGUUGUAUAUGAAGUCGUAUUUUUAUAUGGUGUAGUAAAAUCUUGUGUUUGAGAAAUUGAUGUUUAUCAUUGAGAUUUUGAGUGAAAAGUGUUGAGAUUGUGUUUAAAUCGAUGAUUGGUUCUGUGAUACAUAUUAGUGAGGAUGAGUAUUAGUUUGUGAUCGGUGAGUUAAUAUAUAGUAUUGAGACUAUGCAUGAAAGGUGAUGAGCAGGACGUGUUGAACAUUAUGAUAUUAUAUUUUGAUAAUGGUGAGAUAAACUUUAUGAUUGGUGAGCAAUGCAUGAUGUUGAGAAUGAGUAUUGAUGUGUGAUUUGGACAUGAAACUAUGUUAUUUCCUUGUACUGUCGUCGGUCAUGUUUGAGUUUUUCGUACUGCGCUACGAUAAGAAUGUGAUGUUGUUGGACUCUCGUUUAAGAGAUAGUGAUUCGAGUGUCACUUCCCUCUGCGCGGGGAGGUGGAUGUCUCGCCCAAAAGACUUCGGCUCGUGCUUAGUAUAGUGCACUGGUGCGCGUAGUGCCAGUGUUUUUACUUGUUAGUCCUUGAGAAGUNGGGGAGAUAGGUCGGAAGUUGCGAUGGAAGACGGCUCGAAUUGCCCUGUUGANNAACAGGUACCUGUUAGUGAUAACAGGUCAUGACGACACAGUAAAAGGAAACGACAUUGGGUCAUGAAUGGAUUGGUUAUGAUAUUGAUGUUGUGAUGAAAUAUGUUAUAUGUUUAUAUUACUCUAUGAUUAAAAUGAAAUAUGCUUUAUUGUGUGUUAUGAUAUUUCUGGUAGCUCACCCUAAAAGUUGUGGUUGUGGUUUCCACCUACGAUGAUCGUACUUGUAUGGGAGUAGAUGGCAUUGCAGAUAAAACUGGACAUAAGUAGC